UGAAGUCAGUGCAGGUCUGUAUGCUCCUGUUCUUGUUUAGUUCCAUUUUUAAAAGUGAAUUUGCACUGAAUCUUUAUCCUGGGCAUUUGAAACAGACUCUGUAUUUUGUGGCAGAGAUUUCAUCUCUAAAGCUGUAACGAGUUUGACUACCACAGCACUUUAAUGCCAGACAGAUAUCAAGAAUCGCUGUUGCCUCUCAAUACCCCUUUGAUUGGAAGAAACCAGAGAGUCUGAGGGUUUCUGGAAAUAGCUAUUAGUUUGUAGCUAGUGUGUUUAGCAACUGGUAACCGCUCACCCAAAUCUGAGGACAGUUUUUAAUCUGUCAGUAGGAUUUUAAAAGUAUCUUCAACUGUUUGGUUUGCCCCUUUCUGGCCAGUGGGUAAUCUGUAUUCAUCAGAGCAGGCUUUAUCUUUGUAUGGUCCUCUGAAACCAUGUUCCACACCUUUCCCCCAAUGUAAGCAGCUUCUGUCCACCAUCACUCUACUGUGCCUGGGCUUCCCCUUAGGGGAAGGUCAGGGCAAUGAUUCUCUGUGGAACACCUAUUGCAACUUGACACACACAGAGGGGGAUGGGGAGGUUAUCUGUUCCUUUACUCUCAUCACCCUGCCCCCUACAUUCCAAACCACCUCAUGCAGGAGAAACGGGACCCGACUGUCCUGGGUCUAUACAGAAGUGCCAACACUUAUGUGAUCCGUGGUACCUGGGGCAGCCCUCACUGGAAAUGCCAAGGUCAGAGCAGGCUGCAAAAGGGAGAGCAGAUAUUCCCAAGACUGGUGGGUAACACUGAAGUUAAACUCCCCAACCAGACUCAAACUGUGCUUCUCAUCCUCCACACUGGUUAUCAAGAAGCAAUAAAGAAAUCACACCGCCCCCUUUAUUGCAUUCCAGUUCUCUGGCUCCCAAUCACCACCUAGGUCCGGUUCACUGAGAAGUUAUUUAAAAUAACUCUGCUCACAUAUACAGAAUGUUCUUCUCACCCCAAAGGGUCAGCCAUGUUACCAGGUCAGUAUAGGUUUGGAUCUUACCCAAAAUACCACUCUGCCAGCCAAUCCUUUAGUGUCGAAAACUAAAGGUUUAUUAUAAAGAAAGAAGAGAGAUGUUAAUGGUAAAACAGUCACAUACAUCCAAAGACUUCAAAAUCCAUAUAUCAGGUUCCUAGCAGUAUUGGUGACUUUGCUGGCUUGCAAGUCCCUCUGGGACACAUCCACAGCUCGGAUGGGUCAUUCAGUCCUUUGUUCAGAGCAUCAGUUUGUAGCAAAGUUCCUUCAGAGGUAAGAAACACGAUUGAAGACGUGGAGAAGAUGCAGCUGCCCUUUAUAGUCUUUUGCUUGUUACACUUUUAUAAUAUUGAUAUUCAUAAUAUCCUCGAGUGUCCCCCAGAUUCCAUACAGCGUCACAACUCGUCUCCAGGACACCUCUCCAAAUAAGCAGCCGCAGCCCAUGCGUUAUGAUGAAUGUUGCCACUUGCAUGUCACCGGAGUGAGAGUCCUGAGUGCGCUUUGCUGGCCCCAGGAUGUCUGGCUCCUUUCAAAUGGACCUUGUGCUUUAUCUGACUGUCAGAGGCAGUGGUAGCCUGGUGCAUUGAACCUCGUGUUGGGAGCCCGGAAUCCUGAAUUCUGAUCCCAGCUCGGAGACCAUUGCUGUGUGGCCUUGACCCAAGUAACUUCGCCUCCCCAUGCCUCAGUUUCCCUAUCUGUAAAAUGGGAAUGGUACCACUUACCUCGCUGGGAGACCAUGCAGGAGAACUCGAGUGUAUGCAAUGCUUUGAAAAUGUCUGUAAGGAAACCUCAGUCAUGUCAGACCCUUCUUUGCUGUGCAGUGUGGCUUUCAUCAUAGCCAGAAUGGUGGUAUAGUUACAAAUUAUCUAUUAAUCAUGUACCUGAUAUGGUUCUGUUUUUGCAACUUUUCCCACUGCUUCUUUACACUUCAAAGUACCUCUUAAUAUGUUUAACAUCUUUAGUCUCCUUCCUCUGCAAUAGGUCGUUGGUGAGCAUUUAGCACCGUAGAACAUAGUGUUUUCCCUGUAGAAAGCAUGCCAUAGACUCUAUUCCAUUUGUAAAUAAAGAAUCUCUUACCACA